CAAGUAGGGUGAAUGGUCGCGGCUGCAUUGUCGAAAGACAUACAGACGAGGAAAGUCCGGGCUUCGCAGGGCAGGAUGCCGGAUAACGUCCGGUGGAGGCAACUCCAAGGAAAGUGCAACAGAAAUGUACCGCCAGGUAACUGGUAAGGGUGGAAAGGCAGUGUAAGAGACUACCGCAUCUCUGGUAACAGAGAUGGCUCUGUAAACCCCAUUCGAAGCAAGACCAGAUUUAAGCAUUGACGUGGCCCGCCAGCUUAAGGUAGGUUGCUUGAGGCGGUUGGCAACAGCCGUCCUAGAUAGAUGACCAUUUUCAACAUAACCCGGCUUACAGCCCUGCUUGGUUU
rfam:Roseburia sp. CAG:45 genomic scaffold, scf88